rnacentral:rRNA from 1 species
UACGUAGGGUGCGAGCGUUAAUCGGAAUUCCUGGGCGUAAAGCGUGCGUAGGCGGUUCUCCAAGUCCGUUGUGAAAUCCCCGGGCUUAACCUGGGAAUGGCAGUGGAAACUAGGGGACUUGAAUUUGGCAGAGGGGGGUGGAAUUCCACGUGUAGCAGUGAAAUGCGUAGAGAUGUGGAGGAACACCGAUGGCGAAGGCAGCCCCCUGGGCUGAGAUUGACGCUGAGUGCACGAAAGCGUGGGGAGCAAACAGG